CCUACGGGAUGCAGCAGUGAGGAAUAUUGGUCAAUGGCCGGAAGGCUGAACCAGCCAUGCCGCGUGAAGGUCAGUGCCCUAUGGGCGUUAAACUUCUUUUGUGCGGGAGCAAUAAUGGUCACGUGUGGCCAGACGAGAGUACCGUACGAAUAAGCAUCGGCUAACUCCGUGCCAGCAGCCGCGGUAAUACGGGGGAUGCAAGCGUUAUACGGAUUUAUUGGGGUUAAAGGGUGCGUAGGCUGUGAGGUAAGUCAGAGGUGAAAUGCCCCCGCUCAACGGGGUGAAGUGCCAUUGAUACUGCCUUGCUGGAAUGCGGAUGCCGUGGGAGGAAUGUGUGGUGUAGCGGUGAAAUGCAUAGAUAUCACACAGAACACCGAUUGAGAAGACAUCUCACGAAUCCGCGAUUGACGCUGAUGCACGAAAGCGUGGGUAUCAAACAGGAUUAGAUACCCUUGUAGUC
rnacentral:rRNA from 1 species